rnacentral:misc_RNA from 1 species
AACGCACAUUGCGCCCCCUGGCAUUCCGGGGGGCAUGCCUGUUCGAGCGUCAUUGCACCACUCAAGCCUCGCUUGGUAUUGAGCGCCGCGGCGUCCGCCCGCGCGCUCCAAAGUCCCCCGGCUGGGCCGUCCGCCUCGAAGCGUUGUGGUACACCAGUUCCGCUUGCGAGGCCCGGGCGGCGCGACGCCGUUAAACCCCCCUUCUCAAAGGUUGACCUCGGAUCAGGUAGGGAUACCCGCUGAACUUAA